rnacentral:rRNA from 1 species
CAGUCGCCACGGUAAUACGAAGGGUGCAAGCGUUACUCGGAACUACUGGGCGUAAAGCGUGCGUAGGUGGUGGUUUAAGUCCGUUGUGAAAGCCCUGGGCUCAACCUGGGAAUUGCGGUGGAUACUGGAUCACUAGAGUGUGGUAGAGGAUAGUGGAAUUUCCGGUGUAGCAGUGAAAUGCGUAGAGAUCGGAAGGAACAUCUGUGGCGAAGGCGACUAUCUGGGCCAACACUGACACUGAGGCACGAAAGCGUGGGGAGCAAACAGGAUUAGAUACCCCAGUAGUCCCUGUCUCUUAUAC